AAGACCUUUGCGCUUUUGGAGCGGCCGAUGUCUGAUUAGCUUGUUGGUGAGGUAAAAGCUUACCAAGGCUUCGAUCAGUAGCUGGUCUGAGAGGACGGCCAGCCACACUGGGACUGAGACACGGCCCAGACUCCUACGGGAGGCAGCAGUGGGGAAUUUUGGACAAUGGGGGCAACCCUGAUCCAGCCAUGCCGCGUGAGUGAAGAAGGCCUUCGGGUUGUAAAGCUCUUUCAGCCGGAACGAAACGGUUACGGUUAAUACCCGUGACUACUGACGGUACCGGAAGAAGAAGCACCGGCUAACUACGUGCCAGCAGCCGCGGUAAUACGUAGGGUGCAAGCGUUAAUCGGAAUUACUGGGCGUAAAGCGUGCGCAGGUGGUUUUGUAAGUCAGAUGUGAAAUCCCCGGGCUUAACCUGGGAACU
rnacentral:rRNA from 1 species